UCUGUAGUAUUAUUUUCAUUACAAUGAGCGCAGAAUUCAAUAUUUACUGUGAAUUAUUAAUUACGCUUGUCGGGGAAAGACCAGUACUGUGGGAUAAUUCAAGUGAAGAGUACAAAGACAGGCGGCUAACUUUGCAAGCUUGGAAGGAUGUAUGCCCACACCUUAAAGAAGAUUUUGAAACACUGGGAGAUAAGGAGAGAAACGAUAUAGGAAAACUGGUGAUAAAAAAAUGGGCAAACAUAAUGGAUAACUGGAUGAAAUGUCACAAGAAAUUAAAUGAGGAGCAGAAGAGCGGUUCUGGAGCAAAGAGGCGCAAAUACCUGUUUUAUAAGGAACUACGAUUUCUGACAAAAAUAGCAACUCAUCGACAAACUACUUCAAAUAUGCCUGAUAACGUUAACCUUGCUGACAGGCAGACUGAGAGGCAAGAGGAAAAACGUAAUCAUGAAUGUUAUGCCGCAAAUUUCAAAAGGGGAAAUUUGAGGCAUUGUCCCAAAUGUUACAACAAUUGCUAAGAGCUUUCACAAUGAUCAGGGAGGAGAAAUGCAGUUCCGCAUAUUGGUGUCGUCAUGUUUAAAAUGGAUGCAUAAAAUUGUCAGUAACUUGUCAAAUUCUUUUGACAUUCUAAAAAAUUAACAUGCUUUGUGUCGUCCUGUCGUAGUUUUUCAAACAGCAUACUAAAUGCACCAAAUUUAAAUCAGUCUUGCAACACAGGAUGCACCCAGUACCUUCUGCAUCGUCGCUGUUUCUUGUUGUAAAAAUAAUAUAGUGCAAUGAGGGUGCAUACAUCCAUAUUAUCCAUUCUACUGCACCCGUGCACAGACUCACCUCGAGUUGAGUGAAACUUUUACCGUGCGCCUACAGUCUCCGUGGACAAGGCCACCCGGUUUUGUCUGCCGCCCGGCGGAAUUCUUGUCGUGGACAAGGGCCCAUAGUGUGUAUAGCCGUCAGUGAGACGUCACGGAUGUCAUUGAAACUGAACUGAACGCGGUACUGACAUGUCACCGAUAUGUGUAAAUAGGCCUUGACUGUGAUGGCUGUGACAUCCAGUUCUUGGCAAUUCACCGCAUGUAAAACAAUUCAAGGCCGCCCUGGUCUGGUCAAGUGGGAUUUGUGGUGGACAAAGUGGCGUUGGGGCGGGUUUUUCUCCGAGUACUUUGGUUUCCCCUGCAGGGGCGGCCCGCGUAUAGGCACUGUGGAACUGCAGCACCCCCAAUUUCCACUUGAUAUUAUCGAUAACAUUUAUAUAAUGAGUCCUUU